rnacentral:rRNA from 1 species
GAUGAACGCUGGCGGCGUGCCUAAUACAUGCAAGUCGAGCGAACAGACGAGGAGCUUGCUCCUCCGACGUUAGCGGCGGACGGGUGAGUAACACGUGGAUAACCUACCUAUAAGACUGGGAUAACUUCGGGAAACCGGAGCUAAUACCGGAUAAUAUAUUGAACCGCAUGGUUCAAUAGUGAAAGACGGUUUUGCUGUCACUUAUAGAUGGAUCCGCGCCGCAUUAGCUAGUUGGUAAGGUAACGGCUUACCAAGGCAACGAUGCGUAGCCGACCUGAGAGGGUGAUCGGCCACACUGGAACUGAGACACGGUCCAGACUCCUACGGGGGGCAGCAGUAGGGAAUCUUCCGCAAUGGGCGAAAGCUUGACGGAGCAACGCCGCGUGAGUGAUGAAGGUCUUCGGAUCGUAAAACUCUGUUAUUAGGGAAGAACAAAUGUGUAAGUAACUAUGCACGUCUUGACGGUACCUAAUCAGAAAGCCACGGCUAACUACGUG